GAGGUGUCCAGUUUGUAGCGCGCUUUUUUGGAGCAGCUACAAGCAUCACUUGGCACCAAGCUCAUUCGUAGUUCGACUUAUCACCCUCAAACCGAUGGUCAAACUGAAAGGGUAAAUCAGAUCCUUGAAGACAUGUUUAAGAGCUUGUGUCAUCCAUUAUGACAAAUAUUGGGAUAAGUGCCUACCAUUGGCAGAGUUCUCCUACAACAAUAGCUACCAGACUAGCUUGAAG
rnacentral:lncRNA from 1 species